rnacentral:rRNA from 1 species
UACGGAGGAUGCAAGCGUUAUCCGGAUUUAUUGGGCGUAAAGCGUCCGCAGGUGGUUUUCCAAGUCUGCUGUUAAAGCGCGAGGCUUAACCUCGUACAGGCAGUGGAAACUGGAUGACUAGAGUAUGGUAGGGGUAGCGGGAAUUCCCAGUGUAGCGGUGAAAUGCGUAGAUAUCUGGAGGAACACCGGUGGCGAAGGCGGCAUCCUGGACCGACACUGACGCUGAGGCGCGAAAGCUAGGGGAGCAAACGGG